ensembl:lncRNA
CCGACCUUAAAAAUCACUGAAGUGUGUGUAGUGCAGUGGGUGAGUCUGUCUUUGACGUGUGUGCACUAAAGCUUUGCAGUGCUGUGCCGUGUCCCUGUUGUCUGUACUUGCCCUCCAGGCCGAGAAAGGUUCCUGUUGGAAAGAACGUAGGCUGCCGUGGCGGUGCCCACCUAUUCCACCUACGCCCGCCUAUAACUCCGUUCUCUGGACCCAGCUUGAAGGUGAAGUGCGAAAGCAAAACAAGGUAUUGUGCGGAUAUUGUGGGAAAAGCUAUUGCCCUUGAAUAUGCCCUGAAAAGCCCAGCGUGAAGAUACAGUCACUUGUUGAAUACUUACCUGUCUGUACAGAGCUAAAAGCUAUUGCCCUUGAAUACGCCCUGAAAAGCCCAGCGUGAAGAUACAGUCACUUGUUGAAUACUUGCCUGUCUGUACGAGCUAAAAGCUAUUGUCCUUGAAUACGCCCUGUAAAGCCCAGCGUGAAGAUACAGUCACUUGUUGAAUACUUACCUGUCUGUACGAGCUAAAAGCUAUUGUCCUUGAAUACGCCCUGUAAAGCCCAGCGUGAAGAUACAGUCACUUGUUGAAUACUUACCUUGCUACAUCCUUACCGUUGUUACUUACCUGUGCCCUCAGGGAUUUGUGUGUCGCCUUAUACUUACCUAGGAGGUCAAUGGGAGUGGAGGAGCUGUCCAGACGCUGGUGAAGUGCAACCCAAGGAGCAAAGAAGCUAGGAACAAGGCAUUCUUCUCCGUUUUAUCUAUUACUCAUUGUGUGUUCUGUUGCCUUCAGGAGAAGAGAAGGGC